CCGGAUGCUCUAGCAGGGUUGCACCGUAAAGCAGCCCCGCCCCAUCUACCC
rnacentral:ncRNA from 1 species